GACGAACGCUGGCGGUGUGCUUAACACAUGCAAGUCGAACGGUAAGGCCCUUUCGGGGGUCCACGAGUGGCGCACGGGUGAGUAACACGUGAGUAACCUGCCCUCAUCUCUGGGAUAACAGUCGGAAACGGUUGCUAAUACUGGAUAUGAGCUUGCAAGGCAUCUUGUGGGUUGGAAAGAUUUUUUUGGUUGGGGAUGGACUCGCGGCCUAUCAGCUUGUUGGUGAGGUAGUGGCUCACCAAGGCUUCGACGGGUAGCCGGCCUGAGAGGGCGACCGGCCACAUUGGGACUGAGAUACGGCCCAAACUCCUACGGGAGGCAGCAGGGGGGAAUAUUGCACAAUGGACGGAAGUCUGAUGCAGCAACGCCGCGUGCGGGAUGACGGCCUUCGGGUUGUAAACCGCUUUCAAUUGUGACGAAGCUUUUUGUGACGGUAGCAGUAGAAGAAGCACCGGCUAACUACGUG
rnacentral:rRNA from 1 species